GCCGAAGUGAUGGAAUUGGUAGACGUAGCGGAUUCAAAAUCCGCCGGGAGUGAUCCCGUGGGAGUUCGAUUCUCCCCUUCGGCACCA
rnacentral:tRNA from 1 species